GUGUUCACUUGGGCAGCACAUAUACUAAAAUUGGAAGGAUACAGAGAUUAGCAUGGCCCUUGCACAAGGAUGACUCACAAAUUCGUGAAGUAUUCUAUAUUUUA